rnacentral:rRNA from 1 species
AACGGUCAUACCAUGCAGAAUAUACCGGUUCUCGUUAGAUCACCGAAGUCAAGCAUCGUUGGGCGCGGUCAGUACUUGGAUGGGUAACCACCUGGGAACACCGCGUGCCGUU